ACCCUUUCUUCAGGACAAGGGAAUUGUAUCAGUGAUUAAUGAGGGUGGAUUAGAAAACAGCUGGAGCCCCGGAAGCCAGGUCCUGGGCGCAGUAAAAUAGUCCCUCCAUUUGCCGGGAAUAUGACCCGAAUGCGGCACUAGAUGACGAUCAAGCAGAAGCAUGAGUCAUAAUGAAAGCAAAAAGAAGAUAUGAUUCCAUGAGUGAGUCCAGUCUGGUGGAGAGACCACAGAGCAAUUUGAACAGUCUGGACAUUAAAUCUUCCUUCUGUUGACACAGAAUAGCAUAUUCAUAGCCAUCUUGAUUCAUUACAGCCAUCACUUCUUGGGAUAAGCCCUCUAG